rnacentral:rRNA from 1 species
UACGUAGGAGGCAAGCGUUGUCCGGACUGACUGGGCGUAAAGCGCGCGCAGGCGGUGCGGGGCGUCGGUGCUGAAAUCGGGCCGCUUAACGGCCCGCGGCGUGCCGAUACGCCCGUACUGGAGGGUGGGCGAGGGUGGUGGAAUUGCCGGUGUAGUGGUGAAAUGCGUAGAUAUCCGGAGGAAUACCAAAGGCGAAGGCAGUGUCCUGGCUGGCAACUGACGCUGAGGCGCGAAAGCUAGGGGAGCGAACAGG